rnacentral:rRNA from 1 species
GCUACGGGAGGCAGCAGUGAGGAAUAUUGGUCAAUGGCCGGGAGGCUGAUCCAGCCAAGUCGCGUGAGGGAAGACGGCCCUACGGGUUGUAAACCUCUUUUGUAAGGGAGCAAGGUGCAGGUCGGGACCUGCUGUGAGAGUACCUGAAGAAAAAGCAUCGGCUAACCUCGUGCCAGCAGCCGCGGUAAUACGGGGGAUGCGGGCGUUACCUGGAUUAAUUGGGUUUAACGGGUGGGCAGGCGGAGGCACAGGUCAGCGGUAAAACCGCGGGGCUCAACCCGGCUGCGCCGUUGAAACGGGGGCCCUUGAGUACGCGAAGGAUGGGCGGAAUGCGAGGUGUAGCGGUGAAAUGCAUAGAGAUGUCGCAGAACACCGAUCGCGAAGGCAGCCUCCCGGCACGCAACUGACGCUCAUGCACGAAAGCGUGGGGAGCGAACAGGAUUAGAUACCCUGGUAGUC